rnacentral:rRNA from 1 species
UACGUAGGGUGCGAGCGUUGUCCGGAAUUAUUGGGCGUAAAGAGCUCGUAGGCGGCUUGUCGCGUCGGAUGUGAAAGCCCGGGGCUUAACCCCGGGUCUGCAUUCGAUACGGGCAGACUAGAGUUCGGCAGGGGAGACUGGAAUUCCUGGUGUAGCGGUGAAAUGCGCAGAUAUCAGGAGGAACACCGGUGGCGAAGGCGGGUCUCUGGGCCGAUACUGACGCUGAGGAGCGAAAGCGUGGGGAGCAAACAGG